ACGACCUUACUUGAACAGGAUCUGUUCUAUAGGCUCGUACCUCUGUGUCCUUGAGACCCAAGGAGACAGGAACCGAAGUCUGGUGGAUGAGCCAUGGCCGUGUGAUCAGAGCGUGAUUAACGGUUCUGAUGAGUCCUCUUGGAUCCCUCAGAACUGUAGAGGAUCGUUCUCAGCCGGGUAUUCUGGCUGGGGUGAUCACCCGGCGGUCUGACAGACU